GCACGGUCUUGGACAUGCCUCGUCUUCUCCUUCCCUGGUCAAUGCGACGAUCCGUAAUGCCCUGGCCAAAUAAAUAGAUGGACGACCGUUUACAGGAGCGGAUACAGAUCGGGUCUCGAUCGGAACCAAAUAUAGUGUUCUCCUUCUAUUGCUGCCGCCUAUCCAAAUUGGCUGGCCGGGUUCCUAUAUGGCUAUAUCCACGGUAACAAACUUGAC
rnacentral:lncRNA from 1 species